GCAGCAGCCGCGGGAAUACAGAGGGUGCGAGCGUUAAUCGGAUUUACUGGGCGUAAAGCGUGCGUAGGCGGCUUUUUAAGUCGGAUGUGAAAUCCCUGAGCUUAACUUAGGAAUUGCAUUCGAUACUGGGAAGCUAGAGUAUGGGAGAGGAUGGUAGAAUUCCAGGUGUAGCGGUGAAAUGCGUAGAGAUCUGGAGGAAUACCGAUGGCGAAGGCAGCCAUCUGGCCUAAUACUGACGCUGAGGUACGAAAGCAUGGGGAGCAAACAGGAUUAGAUACCCCGGUAGUCCCUGUCUCUUAUAA
rnacentral:rRNA from 1 species